rnacentral:lncRNA from 8 species
AUGAGUAAACACCAAGUAUCCAAAACAAGUUCUCAACGUUUGCUAUUUGUCUCAAUAUCUAUUAAACACGUGAAAAUUUCUUAUCACAUUGAACAAUUUCUCCUAACAAUAAAUACAUGCACAAUUCAUAGGAGGAAACAUGUAUUGGACAACUACUACUACUACUACUAUUGUUACUACUACUACUACUAUUGUUACUACUACUACUAUUGUUACUACUACUACUAUUGUUACUACUACUACUACUGUUGCUACUACUACUACUACUACUAUUGCUACUACUACUACUACUGUUGCUACUACUACUACUACUAUUGCUACUACUACUACUAUUGUUACUACAACUACUAUUAUUACUACUACUACUAUUGUUACUACUACUACUAUUGUUACUACUACUAUUCUUACUACUACUACUGUUACUACUACUGUUACUGUUACAACUACUACUAUUGUUACUACUACUACUAUUCUUACUACUACUAUUGUUACUACUACUACUACUAUUGUUACUACUACUACUAUUGUUACUACUACUACUAUUGUUACUACUACUACUACUACUACUAUUGUUACUACUACUACUACUAUUGUUACUACUACUACUAUUGUUACUACUACUACUACUAUUGUUACUACUACUACUACUGUUACUACUACUACUAUUGUUACUACUACUACUACUGUCCUACUACUACUAUUGUUACUACUACUACUAUUGUUACUACUACUACUAUUGUUACUACUACUACUACUAUUGUUACUACUACUACUACUAUUGUUACUACUACUACUACUGUUACUACUACUACUAUUGUUACUACUACUACUACUGUUACUACUACUACUAUUGUUACUACUACUACUACCCAUUGUAACGUCCUUUCUCUCAUUACAAAAUUGCUAUUAUAUUGCUACUGCAACAUUGUAACUGACUGCAAAUUGGCAUCAAAGGCCACAAAGCACAUCAAAAGUAUAAACUCAAAACAAAGCACAACAAAAGUAUCAAAUCAAAACAGUUACACCUCGAUCACACAUGGUACACAGCAUCAUCUGGAUAUGUCUGCAACAAAAGUUCAACAUUCCCUUUCUGCUACCAUUUCUGUCACAGCGACAGCGUUGUUGCGUUUUGGUACACCAGAAUGA